rnacentral:tRNA from 1 species
UAGGUGGAUAACUUAACAUAAAGUAAAGCUUUGAAGGGGCUUAAAUGAAAUAUUUCUCUACCUAG